UACGGGGGGGGCAAGCGUUGUUCGGAAUUACUGGGCGUAAAGGGCUCGUAGGCGGCCAGGUAGGUCUGCUGUGAAAACUCGAGGCUCAACCUCGAGACGUCGGCGGAAACCAUCUGGCUAGAGUCCGGAAGAGGAGAGUGGAAUUCCUGGUGUAGCGGUGAAAUGCGUAGAUAUCUGGAGGAACACCGGUGGCGAAGGCGGCGUUCUGGACUGCAACUGACACUGAGGAACGAAAGCCAGGGGAGCAAACGGG
rnacentral:rRNA from 1 species